rnacentral:tRNA from 1 species
GCACUGGUGGUUCAGGGGUAGAAUUCUCGCCUUACAUGCGGGAUACCCGGCUUCCAUUCCUGGCCAGUACA